AGCGAACGCUGGCGGCGUGCUUAACACAUGCAAGUCGAACGAAGGCUUCGGCCUUAGUGGCGGACGGGUGAGUAACGCGUGGGAAUCUACCUUACGGCGGGGAAUAACAGCGGGAAACUGCUGCUAAUACCGCAUACGCUCUACGGAGGAAAGGCUUCGGCCACCGUUUGAGGAUCCCGCGGCCGAUUAGCUAGUUGGUGAGGUAACGGCUCACCAAGGCGACGAUCGGUAGCUGGUCUGAGAGGAUGAUCAGCCACACUGGGACUGAGACACGGCCCAGACUCCUACGGGAGGCAGCAGUGGGGAAUAUUGGACAAUGGGGGAAACCCUGAUCCAGCGACGCCGCGUGAAUGAUGAAGGCCUUAGGGUUGUAAAGUCCUUUCGUCCGUGACGAUGAUGACAGUAGCGGAAGAAGAAGCUCCGGCUAACUUCGUGCCAGCCGCCGCAGUAA
rnacentral:rRNA from 1 species